GACGAACGCUGGCGGCGUGCUUAACACAUGCAAGUCGAACGGAAAGGCCCUGCUUUUGUGGGGUGCUCGAGUGGCGAACGGGUGAGUAACACGUGAGUAACCUGCCCUUGACUUUGGGAUAACUUCAGGAAACUGGGGCUAAUACCGGAUAGGAUCUCCUGCUGCAUGGUGGGGGUUGGAAAGUUUCGGCGGUUGGGGAUGGACUCGCGGCUUAUCAGCUUGUUGGUGGGGUAGUGGCUUACCAAGGCUUUGACGGGUAGCCGGCCUGAGAGGGUGACCGGCCACAUUGCGACUGAGAUACGGCCCAGACUCCUACGGGAGGCAGCAGUGGGGAAUAUUGCACAAUGGGCGGAAGCCUGAUGCAGCAACGCCGCGUGCGGGAUGACGGCCUUCGGGUUGUAAACCGCUUUCGCCUGUGACGAAGCGUGAGUGACGGUAAUGGGUAAAGAAGCACCGGCUAACUACGUG
rnacentral:rRNA from 1 species